ensembl:lncRNA
CAGAGGACCAUCACUCGGCAAAGUUUCAGUGCAUGCCGUUGAUGUAGACGGCGUGAAAACGGAAACAAGAAGUAUGCCGGCUCACUGUGCUGCAUACAGUUACACACUACGUCGUACGAUUGAGACAAGGAAACUUGGAAUGACUUUUCAUAGGUUUCCCAGAGACUAUGGGUUGAGGAGGAAUUGGAAGUUUGUCGGCUUAGACCUGUGUCAUUCCAUCAGUGUUAAACUUCCCGGCUCAUUUUGGAAGAGUACGUGCCAGAAAGACCACGACCAAGCAGCCUUGAGAUCUUAGGCAGCGUCUCCCUGAGGUCCCUCUCUAUCUCCCCACACAUCCACCAACCACUGGAACACAUCUCCAAAGUUCUGCCGGGCCAGCUCAGCUUCCCCUCAGAAGAAGUGCUGCCACCUGCCAGAUGAAGGAGCCUUUUGAGAGGCAGCUGGCAUCGUGAUUGGACUGUACUUUGGUCUGUUCCAAUCCAGCUUCAGCUCCAGAGACGGCAGGCGGGACGAGUCAACGGAGGCCUGGUGGACGAAGGCAUGCAGCUGAGUACAAUCCAGAAAACAACAAAGGAGGAGUGCAGCGGCCCAGAGCCAGAACAAACAGAGUAGCAUCGUAUGUCUCUUAGAAAACAUCAUAGUAGAGCCUUUGGUAUGAAAAAACGCCAUCAUAUACAUCAUAUAUUGUACAAAUAAAUCAAAGGAAAGAGACAUACAUUGUAGAAUUGUAGUAAUUGUGGGCUGACUGAUUUACUGAUUAUCAAUAUUUUAUUUUUUACUGAUUUACUGUAAUAAAUACAUUUAAAAGUGGC